CCCAACUGGUCGAGACAGACGACCACCCACCUAGAGCCGAAGGAUCUGUCCUAGGUUUCUGCCUUUUAACAGGCAGUUUUUCCUUGCCCUUGUCGCCAAGUGCUUGCUCAUGGUGGUACUGUUGGGUCUCUGUAAAUAAUGUUAUAAAGAGUUCGGUCUAGAACUGCUCUAUUUGAAAAGUGUCCUGCGAUAACUUUUGUUAUGAAUUAUACAAAUAAAAUUGAAUUGAAUUGAAUUGUUGACGGCAGCCGUUGACACAGUAUUUAGAAAUGUCCACCUGUGAUCAGAUCACCCAAGACACAUUCUAGUAGCAGGUGUAAACAGACCCUUAUACUCCUUAUAAAAAUAUCCCAAUAGUUCCCACCAUGUGCAAGCAAACCUCUGAAAAACUACCAACACACAUGCAGGCAACUGUUGCUGUCUCUUGGCCAAGUUGUUAAGUUGGUUAUUAAUAAAAAAGUUUUCUGUGUGGAUAUCAACUAAA